UUAUAGAAAAAAUUUAAUUAAUAAAAAAUUAAAUGUAAAUCAUUAAAUUUAAAUAAUUUGGCGGUAUUUUAAAUAGUUAGAGGAAUUUGUUAGUUAAAUGAUACUCCACGAAUGGAAUGUCCUAAGAUAGUUUUUAUGUAUUGUUGUAUAAAAAUUAUUUUAUAAGAAUUUAUAAUUAAUAUAUUAGAUUUAAUUUGAAUUCAAAUCAAAAUGUAGAAUUAUUAGGAUUUAAUGAAUUACAGUUUAAUAAAAAUAAUAGAGUUAUUUUUUUAAUAAAAUAAUGAAAUCGGAUUUAAAAGUAAGUUUAAAAAAAUAUUUAAAUUGAAA
rnacentral:rRNA from 1 species